AAAUUUUAUGAUCUUAUGGUCCUAGAAGAAUUUCCUGAGCCCAAUGUCUGACUAGGCUAGAAAUUUCAGUAGUGUUUUCCUUUCAGCCUUGAAAUAAAUGUUAACUGAAUUGUGAAAAGCAAACUAUUGACCUUGUUUGUAAGAGCAGAUUUGUGCUAACAAUAUUCAGCCUUGCAUUAUCCCCUGCGUUUUUUCUUUGCUUCAAAACGUUUUAGAUUCAAAUCCUUUAGCUGAUACUCCAUGAUCAAUUUUUCUUUCCCAGGUCUUGAUAAUAAUUCCGAGAUAACUCCAGGUCUGUCCUGCAGUACGAAUGCCCAUCCACAGCUCUCACCACGACCAGCCCAAUGAAGUCAAGCUUGCAGAAAGGACUCGGAAACCCUACAAUGUCCUAUGCGAUGCAGAAGGAAGCAGAUGGGGAGUCCUGGUCCUUUGCCCAGCUCAGGCUGCAGAAUCUGCAGUGUAUUGCAAAGCAGUAGCUGGGAGGCCUCUUAAAUGUAUCUGAGAUCAAUCCCUUGUGCGGUAUUAUCUCAUUAAAACUGGCCCAAACCCCAGCCUGCUCACUGAUAUUUAGAUUUCUACAUCAAGCUGAUAGAAGGAAAAGAAGCAUUGCACUGAGGCAUUCAGCACAAAGUAUGCAUUGCUUCAUAACAAAAAAAAAAAGAGAGGGAAAGGCUUUUUUUCGCUUAUCUGCUUUCAUAAACAGACAGAGCUCUGCAAUCCAGAUCUGCUUUUAUUUGGGGAAAGUGAGACGAUUUGGUGAUGCUCCUGACAGAAAGACAAUAAGCAGUUUGUAUGCAUCCCAUGUACGUGGGCUCACUGCUCUGCUGGGUGAAGACACUCCGCUGCAGGAGAGAAAGGCAGAACUGUGGCUGUGCCCUGCAGUCACUCCUGAAAAGCUGAAGCCAGGACAGAGGGUGCCCUGUGCUCCAGGGCCAACCUCCAAAAGGGUUGCACACAUAUAUUUUCUACCAGCCAAAAGUCACUGAGAGCAGUGGCUCAUCUGGCUUUCUGCUUUCCUGGUCCGACAGCCCCUGUGUUCAGAGAUGGAGAAAAAAACGGUGUCUUAAAGCACACAAGGGGAAUUCUCAACCUGAAACCUCAUUUAAAGGAGAAACUUGCAGUGUGGUAGUGAACAGCAACACUAUCCUGCUUUGGAGGGCUCGAAGAGGGAGCAGAGAUGUGUGUGAGAUGUUUCACUUAUAAAAAGAAGCAAUUUAGGCUCAUCUGUUAGCAGCCAAUUUUUCUGAGUAACAGGGCAAAUCAUAGGUACAAUUCUUGAGUUCCCUCCCUACCUGGCCAUGGAGGAAUAGCAAUGUGAAUCUCAUGAAUCAUGAAGAUAAGCAUGAUGCAGAGCAAUAGAAUUGACAAAAUAUUUCCUCAAAUUCCAUCUAAAUGCAAUGAUAAGUUCUCCCUUCCCAUGCCUGUCGGAGCAAGAGAUGUGACAGCCCCAGAGUGAGAAGAGAUAGCAGCAAGUGUAAAAAAUAAAUUAAUCGUGUUCUAACCA
rnacentral:lncRNA from 1 species